AUUGAACGCUGGCGGCAUGCCUUACACAUGCAAGUCGAACGGUAACGCGGGGCAACCUGGCGACGAGUGGCGAACGGGUGAGUAAUGUAUCGGAACGUGCCCAGUUGUGGGGGAUAACUGCUCGAAAGAGCAGCUAAUACCGCAUACGACCUGAGGGUGAAAGCGGGGGAGCGCACGACCUCGCGCAAUUGGAGCGGCCGAUAUCAGAUUAGGUAGUUGGUGAGGUAAAGGCUCACCAAGCCGACGAUCUGUAGCUGGUCUGAGAGGACGACCAGCCACACUGGGACUGAGACACGGCCCAGACUCCUACGGGAGGCAGCAGUGGGGAAUUUUGGACAAUGGACGAAAGUCUGAUCCAGCCAUGCCGCGUGCGGGAAGAAGGCCUUCGGGUUGUAAACCGCUUUUGUCAGGGAAGAAACGCUCUGGGUUAAUACCUCGGGGUAAUGACGGUACCUGAAGAAUAAGCACCGGCUAACUACGUGCCAGCAGCCGCCGUAAUAC
rnacentral:rRNA from 1 species